rnacentral:rRNA from 1 species
AGGUUGACCUCGGAUCAGGUAGGAAUACCCCCUGAACUU